rnacentral:lncRNA from 1 species
AUGGAAGACAAAUACCCUUACAAUACUAAUGAGCACUCUGACCAGACAAGGUCUCACCCUCCUGCCUGUGUGGGUGGCCAGGAGAGCCCUGCUAAACACCAGCUGACCCAGAUCCCUGGAUGCCAUGUUCCUGUUGUCAGUCCUGAGAUUAACACUCUGGAGCAAGAGCGGGGGACUGUGUCCUUCUCUGCCCCACAGAUAGUAAAACUCAUCUUCCAAACGUGUUGGGUUCUUUUGAUGGUGGCAGAAACGGUGGCCCUUUUAUCACCACACUCAGUCAAAAGGAGACAGCAAGAACACAAGUGAGUAGCCCUUUCAUUCAUGCUCUUCCUCCUCCUCUGCCUACUGUUACCCUGCUUCAUGCUCCUGACCAUGCACCGCUCCCAACCAUCUAAGUCUUCCUUUUGUACUCGCUGUACAGAUGGAGUCUUAGGUGGUAGCGUUAAUGAUCAGAAUGGUCAGCAUUCAGCUUGUCUCAUUUUUCCCAAGGGUAGAGGAAGGCACUGAUGAGAGAACAUGCAGUUCACAGUAUUCACACGAUGGGAUGGGUAUGAAACAAAGAAGCCUCUGUUUUCCAGAAGCAAAAUGUAUACUUACGAGAGAAAGCUUUGGGGAUUAGUGCAUGAAAGUCCCUAAAGCCAUCAGCCCCAUAUGUAACUGCAAUAAAAGAAGGCAAAAAAGAAAGCUGGGUUGUAAUACCAUUAAAGAUAUAGUAAGACCUUUACAGACAGCAUCACAUUAAGAAAAUGUAUUAUUGCUCAAAACUGUUGGUUCACUACUCAUUUGCUAUUCUUGCCCUUAGUAUGGGCCACAAAAAAUAACCACUCAAAUCAGGACUUUGAUCCCCAAGAGUGUGGACUCAAGGGAUUGCCAGGAUGGUUAGGACCAUGCUCUGUCAGGUGUUGCAUCUUAGCGGGAGUGACCCCAAACAUCUCAGAACUAGGAGGAUGCUUCCAGCUGUGCCAGCCCAGAUCUCAGCCUGGUGAUGGCAUCUCAUGAGAGGGCACAGACUUCCACGAAAGCAGUGUGUGUGUUUCAUGGUGGACUGCUUCACACACGUUCUUUAUGCAGAGCAUGUUCAUAGAAAGUUUUAAAAAAAUUUUUUUCAUGUGACAUAUUGGGCAGGGAAAAGCUGUUGUUUUCCCCUGCCUCCAAAAACAGCUACUGUGUCUCUGGGUAUUCCUUGGUAGCUGCUUGCUUAAGGGAUGUCACCACCCCAAACCUGAAUGUUCCACAGGACAGAGUUGCCAGUGUUUUCCUAUUAUUUAAGGAAAUUGGCAGAUUCUGCAUGCACACACAUGUGUGUACCCACAUAUACAUGCUUUUCCCUCCAAGAGUUUCAUCUCAGUGACAUCAGGCAUGUGCACAAAAGAGCUGCUAAAUUAAACUUGUUGGGUGAACUACCUCAUUUGCAGAGUAAAGACUGAAGUGAAAAAAUACCUGUUUAUCAAACUUUACUGAAACCAGUGUCCUCCAGACUGAUCAGACCACAGGACCUCUCUCAUUUCCCCAUGAAAAGUUAACAAAACACUGGAUAGUGGGUGAAC